CGUUAAUAGCCACACUAGUUUGUAAUGGACACGUGUCAACAGGCAAACACAUUGGUUGUAUGACUAUAUAUACAUACCACCUCCCAAACUUCAAAUUCUAGAAUCCAUGGCGGGCAAAGAAAUCCUCAUCGCCGGAGAUCGAUCUUCCCCGUCCCCAAGCCUCAUCUUCUCCUCCGUAAGCACCUUCUUGCAUUUCUCGCACCGAUUCCUUUCUCGAGAUGUAGCAGCCCGAUCGGAGUGCGCUCUCUUAGAUUCAGUCCUCCGUUGAACGGAUCAAAGGUUGACCACCUACCUUGCAGAAUCCUGGACGAUGAGCUUGACACCGGCAGUGAAGGAACAACGGCCGGAAAAGCCUAGGGUUUCUUUGUGGAUAAGUAGUCGAAGAAGAUCAAUGAUGAGCAAAGCGUGGAUGGUUGGCUGUUGUUUCUGUUCCCUUGAUGGUGAUCAUCGCAGGGCUAGAAACUGGAAGGUUCUUUCGCUAGGGCAGGCUAACAACCUGGUGAUCGUCAUCACUGUUGUGCAUCAGAUAUGAGGGAUCGGAUUGGGACAGUGAUUGGGGAAAGACGUGUCAUAGGAGCUCUUGAUCAGCACCUUUCACUAGUUCUGUUUGCAGCUCUUGUGGUCACAAGGAGGAAAGUAUGCCAACUUUUCAAUUUUGGUAAUUACCUCUUCUUGAUGUGUUGUUUUCAUGAAACAUCAGAAAGGAUUGCACACUUUUCCUGCAUUCAUACAUGAAAUUCAUUUGUAGAAUCUUGUGGACAUGCAUUCAUAAGCAUUAUGGGAAGAUUAACUUGCCUUUGGAUUGGUUUAUGUAAUUACCAUUUUAUGUUUGGGCCCUAUCCAUAAAGUUUUUUUAGUCUUCUCAUUUUCUCGUCAUUUAUACAUAAACCUGAACUUGCCUUGGACACAAAGCUCUAAU